rnacentral:rRNA from 1 species
GGUUCAGGACGAACGCUGGCGGCGUGCCUAAUACAUGCAAGUCGAGCGCGGGAAGCAAGCUGAUCCUCUUCGGAGGUGACGCUUGUGGAACGAGCGGCGGACGGGUGAGUAACACGUGGGCAACCUGCCUGUAAGACUGGGAUAACCCCGGGAAACCGGGGCUAAUACCGGAUAAUACUUUUCAUCACCUGAUGAGAAGUUGAAAGGUGGCUUUUAGCUACCACUUACAGAUGGGCCCGCGGCGCAUUAGCUAGUUGGUGAGGUAACGGCUCACCAAGGCAACGAUGCGUAGCCGACCUGAGAGGGUGAUCGGCCACACUGGGACUGAGACACGGCCCAGACUCCUACGGGAGGCAGCAGUAGGGAAUCUUCCGCAAUGGACGAAAGUCUGACGGAGCAACGCCGCGUGAGUGAUGAAGGUUUUCGGAUCGUAAAGCUCUGUUGUUAGGGAAGAACAAGUGCCGUUCGAAUAGGGCGGCACCUUGACGGUACCUAACCAGAAAGCCCCGGCUAACUACGUGCCAGCAGCCGCGGUAAUACGUAGGGGGCAAGCGUUGUCCGGAAUUAUUGGGCGUAAAGCGCGCGCAGGCGGUCCUUUAAGUCUGAUGUGAAAGCCCACGGCUCAACCGUGGAGGGUCAUUGGAAACUGGAGGACUUGAGUACAGAAGAGGAGAGUGGAAUUCCACGUGUAGCGGUGAAAUGCGUAGAGAUGUGGAGGAACACCAGUGGCGAAGGCGACUCUCUGGUCUGUAACUGACGCUGAGGCGCGAAAGCGUGGGGAGCGAACAGGAUUAGAUACCCUGGUAGUCCACGCCGUAAACGAUGAGUGCUAGGUGUUAGGGGGUUUCCGCCCCUUAGUGCUGAAGUUAACGCAUAAGCACUCCGCCUGGGAGUCGCGACCGUUG